rnacentral:rRNA from 1 species
GAUGAACGCUAGCUACAGGCUUAACACAUGCAAGUCGAGGGGAAACGAUAUUGGAAGCUUGCUUCCGAUAGGUGUCGACCGGCGCACGGGUGAGUAACGCGUAUCCAACCUGCCCAUCACUUGGGAAUAACCUUGCGAAAGUAAGACUAAUGCCCAAUGACAUUUAUAGAAGGCAUCUGAAAUGAAUUAAAGAUUUAUCGGUGAUGGAUGGGGAUGCGUCUGAUUAGCUUGUUGGCGGGGUAACGGCCCACCAAGGCGACGAUCAGUAGGGGUUCUGAGAGGAAGGUCCCCCACAUUGGAACUGAGACACGGUCCAAACUCCUACGGGAGGCAGCAGUGAGGAAUAUUGGUCAAUGGGCGAGAGCCUGAACCAGCCAAGUAGCGUGCAGGAAGACGGCCCUAUGGGUUGUAAACUGCUUUUAUAGGGGAAUAAAGUGAGCCACGUGUGGUUUUUUGCAUGUACCCUAUGAAUAAGGACCGGCUAAUUCCGUGCCAGCAGCCGCGGUAAUACGGAAGGUCCGGGCGUUAUCCGGAUUUAUUGGGUUUAAAGGGAGCGUAGGCCGGAGAUUAAGCGUGUUGUGAAAUGUAGAUGCUCAACAUCUGCACUGCAGCGCGAACUGGUUUCCUUGAGUACGCACAAAGUGGGCGGAAUUCGUGGUGUAGCGGUGAAAUGCUUAGAUAUCACGAAGAACUCCGAUUGCGAAGGCAGCUCACUGGAGCGCAACUGACGCUGAAGCUCGAAAGUGCGGGUAUCGAACAGG